ACACAUUUCUAUAACUUUCUUUCCACUUCACUUCACAAAGCUAUUAAAAUCAAAGAAUUUCACUUUUGUUAGCUUAUUGUUUCAUUUAAAAAUGGCUGGUUUUUCAAGAAAUGUGCUUUCUUCUUCAAUAGUAGUUGUUGUUUUUUUGCUUAUGUUAAGAUUAACAGAAGCAAGAGACCAUUUGGUUGGGGGCAAAACUGAUUCUUGGAAAGUACCAUCUUCUGAAUCAGAUUCACUCAAUCAUUGGGCUGAAAAAUCUAGAUUUCUCAUUGGUGAUUCUCUUGUGUGGAAGUAUGAUGGAAAAAGUGACUCAGUUUUGGAAGUGAGCAAGAGAGACUAUGUGAAAUGCAACACUUCAAGUCCAAUAGCAGUGCACAAUGAUGGCAACACCAAGAUAGUACUGGAACAUUCAGGAGCAUACUAUUUCAUUAGUGGAGCAAAAGGGCAUUGUGAACAAGGCCAAAAAUUAAUUGUUGUGGCCUUAUCUGAGAAGCACAACAUGAGGAGAUUUAUGGGUGCACCUGCACCUUCUCCAGCUGAAUUUGAAAGUGCUAUUGCUCCUACUAGCAAUGCUGAUACCUUGAAGGCUAGUUUAGUUGUGGCUCUUGGGGUUUUAAUUGGGUUUUUGUUUUGAAGUGAAAAAAGAUUUAUAGUCAUUUUUAUGGGAUUUUGGUAGAUAGAGAUAGAAAUUCAUUUAGGAAUUUGGCCUUCUUAGUCAUUCUCCUUGGUUUUGAUAUUCUUUGAUUCAAUUUGUUCAACCAUUCCAUUCCGUCUAAUAUAUUGUUCUUCUAUGGUUAAAUAAAAAUUUAUUUCUGUCCAUUUAUUACAA